CUUUCUCGGCCGCGGCUGCUGCUAGGUGCAGCAGUGCGUGUGUAUUCGCCUGUCGCUGGGGUGGGAUUGUUGCCCGCGGUAACCAGGGAGCCAGCAGCCCGAGGCGUCUGGCAGCUCCGGAGCCCUGGGAUUCGGGAGAGAGGCAGCGGUUCGGGUGUCGUCCGCAGAGGGGCCGAGCAGGGAGCGCUGGCCAAAGGGGAGCACCAGCAGCUGCGAAGAGUCCCGGACGGGGAGCGUGAAGGAGUACCUCAUCUGUGGACAGUGUUGUCAGUUCUGAGACAGCCAGUCCACCAUCCAAGCGUAAAGUGGUCACCAAAGUCCAAUCGAAUGCAAAGAAGGCUUUGCUAAAAUGGGUGCAGUACACAGCAGCAAAGCAAGCUGGAAUUGAAGUCAAGGAUUUUGGACGAAGCUGGAGGAGUGGUGUUGCCUUUCAUUCAGUUAUCCAUGCCAUCCGUCCAGAACUAGUGGACUUGGAGAGGUUGAAAACGAGAUCGAACAAGGAAAAUUUGGAAGAGGCAUUUACAAUUGCAGAGUCAGAAUUAGGAAUUCCAAGACUUCUUGAUCCUGAAGAUGUGGAUGUGGAUAAGCCAGAUGAGAAAUCAGUGAUGACCUAUGUAGCACAAUUCCUGAAACACCUCCCAGAUCCUCAUAAUGCAGCCAGUGAUGCACAGGAGACAGAUAAGCCACUUCAAGCAAUUUCAUCUUUUGUUAUUUCUAAACCUAAAUACAAGGUAAGGUUUAAAAAUGGUAAAUUAAACUGACUCACUAGUUUAUUAUUUAUCAUUAUGUAUGUAAACCACUUGAUCAUCAAAAACCUAUAGUUGGCAUUGCUAGAUAUUAACUAUUUUAUCCCAUGUUUGAGGGGGGGCAUGUCUUCACCUUUUAUCUUUACUCUAGACACUAUAUUUAACUGAUCAUCCUUAUAAAAUGUUUAAUUAAGCAUCUGUUAUAGAACACACUUUCUAUGUCUUCUAAAGUUGCAUAUACUAGCUAGUUUAAUAUAGCAAAUAACAAAAUACUCUUCAAGGCAAAACUGUGUAGAGAACAUUUCAAUAGUCCCCAGGUGCUGACAAAGCUGACAACCAGCUCUUGUCAACAAAAGUCAAACAUUCAACACUUUGCAGCUACUCUUGGUCUAGGAAAGUAUUACAUUCAGAGGCAGCUGCUAGAUGUGAAAUUCCUAACCAAAUAAGGGAUGCAGAAUCUGCAUGCAAAAACCUGCUUCUGUACACUAGUCUCCUUUGCCAGGUUAACUUUUGAAGUGGCUGACAACACGAAAAGAAAAAUCAACAAUAAAAUAAAGUAACUAAACUGAAAGAGCAUAAAAAAACAUUGUGAAAUAAAAAAAUCCUCAGAUUUAAAACAGCCAGGUCACUAACAAUAUUUUAAAAAAUGCAAAGUAGAACAAUAUCCAUACAAUUGGAUACACAUAUGCCUUGUUCCAUAUAUUAGUGGAUAGAUUAAUAUACAUAUUUUGACACGCCACUCAAUUUCUGAGCUGUGUGUUCCAGGUGCUUACCCUGGGUCUGUGUUUCCUUUGGAAUGAGAUAUAGUGGAGACCGUGGAGUCUUUAUGAUAUAAGGUUUAUUUACACGUAUAUACAAACUGAGUCUACAAUGGAGGGGUUCAUAGCAUUAACACCCCACAGCCUUGGAUUCCAGCAGAAAUCAUGCAUGGCUCUGUCUUUCUGGCUUCCCAGCUUGCUUCCAGCUUCUGGCAUAACACAAACUCUCAACUCUGGCCUUUGUCUUUCUCACUACCAGACAGUUGAGAGAAGAGGGCCCACCCAUUUUCUGUCUGGCACAGAACCGCUUCCUUUCAUGGGCGUAGGCAGGGGGCAGGAGGGGGCAGCUGCCCCCCCCCAGAAGCAAAAAAUUAAUGUAUUUUACAGGCCAUAACCAGCACUUUUCCCCUCCAAAAACUGAAGUGGAAUGGGCUUUGCUUUAGCAAGAGCAGCUCAGUCUCCGCUUGCUGGGGGGUGGGGAACACAGCUAUAACAAAAACACAUUAAAUAAAUAAAGCAAAGUGGCUACCGGUAGUUAAGCAGUUAAGACAAUGGAGCAGAUAUCCCCAGGCAAGAUGUGAUAGCUCACCACUUCACCCUAUUGUUCUUCAGUGGGGGUUGUUAAUGAGCAUUCAGGGAUCGCAUUAAGAUUUCUAUUGGCAAUUCAAUUUGACUAAGGUGGCUCUGCAAGGCUAAAAGGAAGUGAAUAAGAAAAGGGGGGGGGCUGUAGCUUUGAUAGACACAGUUAUGUUUAUAAAAAGCAGUGGUGUUCCAGUCUGCCCCUCCUCCUGCAUCUGUAUACUGUAAAUCAGGGGUGGCCACCUCCCAAGAAACUCUGAUCUACUCACAGAGUUAAAAACUGGGAGUGAUCUACCCCCUUUUGGGGGGUUCAGAUCAAAGCUGUUGAGUUUUUUUUUAAGGAAGGGAAGCCCUGUUUUGUGGGGUUUAGGUCAAACUUGUUGAGCUUCUUUUAGGAGGGAGGGAGGCCCAUUUUUGUUUAGGGCUUCAGGUCAUAGUUCAGCUUUUUUUAGGGAGGAGGAACAUUUUGGGUGAGCUUUUUUAGGGGUGCCAGUGAUCUAGCAGUGAUCUACCACAGACAUCCAGUGAUCUACUGGUAGAUCACAAUCUACCUGUUGGACGUGCCUGCGGUAAAUCAAGCAGAGAGAAAGCUGCUUACAAGGCUCCUGUACAGGCGUACCGUAUCUUCCUCUUGCUGCAGAGUUCCAGCACCACAGCGUCACCCAGAGGCACCCACAAAUAUGAGUUAUCCCUCUCUCUAUUUCUUCCUUCCUUCCUUCCCUCCCUCUUCUAUCCUUAAUAAAAUACUGGGGGGGGGGCAGAUAAGCCCCACAUAGAAAGCCCAUCAACACGGGGGGAUGACUCUUUCAAAUAUGGUAUUUACCAGUAAUUGGGGGGGGGGGAGAGGCCCCUAGGCCCCUAGGAGUUGGCUGCUAUGCCUAGGAGUAGGACAAUUCAAGAAAGCAGAAUGAUGCAUAUCCUAUGGUAAUAUAUCAAUAGAAUCAUAGAAUUGUAGUUGGAAGAGACCACAAGGGUCAUCUAGUCCAACCCCCUGAAAUGCAGGAAUUUUUUCCUAAGGUGGGGCUUGAACCCACGACAUGGUUGAAAUAUUAUGUUGAUAUGCAGCAACGUCUCGGAGCUGUCAUGACUGCGGCCGUGCCUUGCCUCGCCCUCGCCCGCCUUGCCACCCCCUCUCGCCUGCCCGACCCUCUCCUCCUCUCCAGCCAAGCAGGGUAGCCGCCGACGCUGCCAGCCCCAGAAGCCACGAUGUCGUCGGGCCCGCUGGCCCUGUAACCCCGCCCACAUUCCCACUUUGUGGCCCCUCCCCUCCCAUUCCUUGGCCCCACCCCUGAAUGACCAUGGCUUCCCCCCCCCUAGUUUUGAUCCUGGCUACGCCCCUGCUUCCUUUGUUACCUUAAUGAACCAUGCAUAGGCCAUUACCUCACCAGGAACCUCAGACCUUUUGCAAGCAUAGCAUAUACUCUGCUAGCUCAGCUUGAAAUAAUAUUUCUAUUUGGACUCUGGAGACGUGAAAACGUAUCAGACUAAUUGCCUGCUUCAUAUGAGAGGAGUUCCCAUGGGCAUCUGGUUGUUGACUGUGACAACAGUGUUGUAGUAGGUGGGCCUUUGGCCUGAUCCAGCAGAGUUCUUCUUAGGGUCUUACCUCUUGCACCUUUAACACUACCAUUCCAAAAACCGCAGCCAUGGGACAGAGGUUGGAGCCUUUCCCCCUGUGCUGUUGCCCUUGACAGAGUUGCUGUUAGGCAGGAGUGGAAAACUUGCUUUGAAAGGACGAUUCACAUCAAGGGAUCAGCACAGUGGGAAAGGGGUAAACCUCCCUUCUCCCAUGGCUCUGAACCAAAUGUUACCCACACGUCCGCAGCUGCUUUUAUCAGAAAAAUGAAGAGGGGAAAGGAUGUAUGGUCUGGAGAUGUGUUUUCACUUUUCCAACAUUGUGUCUAGUUUGGUCUUUGCAUUUUAUUAGUGAUGCUCUAUAGAAUAUUCAGCAAAUCUUCAGAAAGGUAUUCACUUUUCUUUAUACAAAGCUAAAACACAACAUUUUGAGAGUAGCCGCUAUCGCACCUGUGACACAAACCAAUGAUAUUUUCAGUGAUAAUAAAAUGUCUUUAUUGUCUGCAUAUUUCAUCGGUUACAUUCAUUUUGGGGGGAAAUAGUAAAGUGUCUCCAGUCCUACAUAUACAAUGGUAUAUUGAAUGGUAUAUAUAAAUUGUAUAUGUAUGGAAUUAAAGUAGGUGCAAGAAAGUUUAAAUUGAAGGCCUUUGCGGAUGAUCUAGUUUCUAGUUUUAACUUUGGAAAAUCCCAAUGAAAGUGUUGCAGAAGUUAUAGAAGAGAUAGAAAAAUUUGGACAAUUGGCUGGAUUUCAGCUAAAUAAACAAAAAAUGAAAAUGGUGAUUAAGAAUAUGAAGAUGGAGGAAAAAGAAUUACAACAGAAAUAUGGUAUCGUAGUGGCAAAAAAAGUACAAUACCUGGGAAUAUGGAUGACAGCAAAAAAUAUUAACCUAUUUAAUGACAAUUAUGAACCAGUGUGGAAGGAGAUAAAGAAGGAUUUAGAAACAUGGAACAGAAUGAAGUUGUCAUUCCUUGGAAGAAUAGCAGCAAUUAAGAUGAAUGUAUUACCCAAAAUGUUAUUUUUAUUUCAAACGAUUCCUAUAAUAAAGGGAACAGGACAAUUCAGAGAAUGGCAAAAAGUUUUGCAGAGAUUUGUCUGGCAGGGGAAGAAACCAAGAAUAUCCUGGUGGAUAGAAAAGAAAGAGGUGGAUUCUCCAUGCCGGACUUGAGGAUAUACUAUGAGGCAUCCUGUCUCUGUUGGUUAAGAGAAUGGAUAACAUCGGGAAAUACAGAUUUAUGAGAUUUGGAAGGACAUGACAACAGAUUUGGUUGGCAUGCAUAUCUUUGGUAUGAUAAAAAAAAGUUCAUAAAGGAUUUACAAAUCAUGUGAUAAGGAGGUCUUUAUAUGAGGUGUGGGAAAGAAAUAAAUCGCUGUUAGAAACUAAGACCCCAUGGUGGAUCUCACCAGUGGAGGUGUUGACAGUUAAAAAGAUAAAUAUGGAAGGGAGGAGGGCCACUUACGAGGAAAUACUGAGGAAAUCAGAAAGGGGAUGGAAGUUGAAACCUUAUGAGGAAAUUAAAGAAUCUCUGACUAGAUGGUUGCAAUAUCACCAAGUAAAUGAUGUGUUUACAAAUGAUAAAAAAGUAGGUUUUGAAGAUAAAAGGUCCAAAUUUCAAAUAGAACUGUUGGAAGGCAGAACAAAAUUGUCAAAAAUGUAUGAUUUGUUGUUAGAAUGGUAUACGAAGGAUGAAUUGACAAAAGAUGUGAUGAUAAAAUGGGCAAAAGAUUUUGGGCAUAAUAUUGAAUAUGAUGCAUGGUUGAAAUUGUGGAAUCAAACAUUGAAAUUUACUGCAUGUACUGCCCUGAAAGAGAAUGUUUUGAAGAUGAUGUACAGAUGGUAUUUAACACCAGUAAAAUUAGCUAAGAUGUAUAGGAUGAGUAGUAAAACAUGCUGGAUAUGUAAAGAGAAGGAUGGUGGAUUUUAUCAUAUGUGGUGGACGUGCGAAAAAAUUAAAAGAUUUUGGGAAAUGAUAUAUAACGAAUUGAAAAAGAUUUUUAAAUAUACCUUUCCC